CCUACGGGUGGCAGCAGUCGAGAAUAAUUCACAAUGGACGAAAGUCUGAUGGUGCAACGCCGCGUGGAGGAUGAAGGUCUUCGGAUUGUAAACUCCUGUCAUUGGGGAGUUAGUACCCAAAGAGGAAGGGACGGCUAACUUCGUGCCAGCAGCCGCGGUAAUACGAAGGUCCCGAGCGUUGUUCGGAAUCACUGGGCGUAAAGGGAGCGUAGGCGGCAUGGUAAGUCAGAUGUGAAAUCCCGGGGCUCAACCCCGGAACUGCAUCCGAUACUGCCUUGCUUGAGGGUUGGAGAGGUGACUGGAUUACGGUGUAGCAGUGAAAUGCGUGGAUAUCAUAGGAACACUCGUGGCGAAGGCACACUGGACAACAUCUGACGCUGAGGCUCGAAGGCUAGGGGAGCAAAAGGGAUUAGAUACCCUGGUAGUC
rnacentral:rRNA from 1 species